rnacentral:rRNA from 1 species
UACGGAGGGUGCAAGCGUUAUCCGGAUUCACUGGGUUUAAAGGGUGCGUAGGUGGGCAGGUAAGUCAGUGGUGAAAUCCCCGAGCUUAACUUGGGAACUGCCAUUGAUACUAUUUGUCUUGAAUACUGUGGAGGUUAGCGGAAUAUGUCAUGUAGCGGUGAAAUGCUUAGAUAUGACAUAGAACACCAAUUGCGAAGGCAGCUGGCUACACAAAUAUUGACACUGAUGCACGAAAGCGUGGGGAUCAAACAGG